AACACUUUCCAAUUUUUUCAUAUACAUAUAAAUGAUAAGUUCAUGAACAAAAAAUCAAGGAAAUUUUACCGUACACUCCUAGAGAAAAGGGCAAUUCUUUCAAAACAGAGACAGUGUAAGUGACAGGGAUAAUUACAUAAGUUUAGAAUAAAUGAAUCUAUAUGCCACCCUGCCAAAAUAGCCAUGCAUGAUACAAAAACAAAAAGGUUGCUCACUCGCAAGUGCAACUCUAGCGUAGUCUCUUUCAACUAAUUCUUCUUCUAUAUCAAACACCUGAGAAAUAAAGUAACGGAGUAAGUUUGUUUGAACUUAGUGAGUUCCAAAAAUGCACGUCAAUAAUUUACAAAAAUACCGCUAAUCAAUAAGCAUUGAUACCCAUAAUAAAAAUAGACUUAUUUGUGAGACUCUAUCAUAUAGACAUAAUACAUCAAUAAUUCCAUCUAUAGUUCACUGGCAAAAAAACUUUACCAAUUUAAAUAUAGCAUACACAGUACACAGGCGUUUAUUGUCCACCAAAUCAUACAUAUCUCUCACAAUCAUGCAUGUUUACAAACAACCCUUCCUUGUGCUAGCCAUGGACCCAUAAUUCAAAAUUCAGAACCAGAAAUCAGUCAUAUUCAUAUUCAUCCUUGUUAAGUUGAACACGUGUUCUCCCGCAAUGUCGAGCCGUGAUCUGCCAAUUUAGUUUUCUAUAUAGCUACCCUACCGGAGGCCUUGCACAUAGAUUUCCUUUCCAUAUUUUUACAUAUCACAAUUUAUUUGGUAUCGAGCUUGUGCAACAAGGAGGGUGUUUUUACAUCAACAAUGACCAUACUUACACAUACAACACUAGUUUAUUACACAUGCAUCCAGGCACAAUGUAUCGACUUCUUUACAGUAGAGACAACUUACCGUACACAACUCACAUACCAUGGAAGUAUCAUGACUCAAAGGAAGUAAGAAGGAACUAACAAGAAAGAUUCAGAACAAAUUUACUCUACUAGUCCUUUUCCUCGACUGCUUGGACCUUCACUAGCUUCUUAAGCUAAAUACGAAACAGUUAUAACCAUUAGACUAUUUAUCUAAUUUAAUCAUACAUGCACUAAUAUAAAACGUAAAUCCCUUCGACAACAACCUAAGGGCUUUCCAGAAAUUACCAUUAAGCUGGUACUUAACAAUGGCAUUUUUUACUAGCUACUAGAACCUCCUUCGUCUUCUUUAACGAAGAUACAUUAAAAUUUUUCAAAGAAAUAGAGAAAAACAAAUGUGAUACAUGUCGGCUAUCAGCAUCAUUAUAUAGCACAAACAGCGAGGACAAAGCUUAGUAGGAGGGUUAGAAAAUCCCACUACAACCCUUGAAACCCAAGAAUAGACUUGCCUAAAUUUUGAAACCUAAUCAUCUACCAAACAUAACUACUACCACAAAUCAACUUAAUGAGUGGUAAAAUGUUACUUGCACACUAAAGCAAGUCAACUAAACAAAUCAUUCAGCUACCUAAACACAUCAAGCUGUCAUCUAUAGUACUCUAGUUCAACUCCAAUUAGGUCUCAACUAAACUCUGAGAACACUCACUGAGUCAUCACUUUCAUGGAAACCAAGUCUAUCUAUCUACAAACUAACAAGUUUGCUAAAAGUAUCUAGGUUGGCUGAUUGUCUCACAAAAGAGUCUGCCAAACACUAAAGUCCUCCAAAUGGCUAAUUCAAACGAGACAUUCCACAAAUGGGCGUACUAUCAAAUCCAUGCAAUACGUCAUCCAAACACUUAACGGAUAAUUCACCAAUCUCAUCCUUUUUCUACCCUGCCCUACUCAAUUAUAUGCCAAACAGCAUAUCAAUAUGGUCUAUGCCAAGCGGGUUGUUACAACAUCCAUCCAUCACACCAAAUAUACAUAUAUGUAAGGGCCCAACAAGUUGCACCGAAGCAUUAUGCCCUAAGGUAAUACAUACCAUAGUCCUCUAACCAUAAUCUUCAAUCAGAAGUGCACACUCUAAUCUCUAUAGAAUUGCAAUUGUUUUCUAACUAUUUCACUAAGUUUACUAGGGUAUUCGACUUCUUAAUCACUUGAGUAAUUUCUAAUUUCACAAAAUAAUCACAUAAGCACUUAUAUGUAUACAUCAAAUUUCACAUAUAUGAACAAAAAAUCUUUUUAUUAGUGCUCAUUGAGCAACUCAUUAUCAUUUCAUAUGGGUGAAUUAUAUCACCAAUUCUUAUUCAUGCACAUGCUUUUAGAUAUUUUAAUUAACUAUUUUUAUUGAGGCUUUAUAGCCAACACAUGGCAAUUUUCUUUAAUAUCACCAUACAAACACAAACAUUUUGUUCAUUAUAGAUUUCAUAUAGUAAUACUCGAAUUAUCACCUCAUAACAACUUUCUCAUUUUAUUAUUCCAAUUCUCACUUUUAACGCUAGUAUCAAAUUUUAUGUCUACAUUAAUAUUGAACAAAAAUCACAUUUUUAUUUCUAUUUAUCACAUCUCUAAUUAAUUCUACUUUUAAAGUUCUCAUUACACCAUGACAUUCAAAUUUCCAUAGCACUUUAGUAGCGUGUUUUAUACAAUCAGAAUCAAUACUUAUAAUUACCAAAGUAUUCUUACCAAUCAUGACAAUAUAUCAAACCAUGUUUUUUCAUACAUAACACACAUAAGCACUCCAACUAUUUUAUUCAAUUUCAUAAUAUUGUUAUUUAAGGAAAAGUUAGAAAAUCUGAAGGUGCCUACCUCUUGGAUGCACACAAAACUAAGCUUCUGAUCAUUUAAAUCCAUCAUCAUCCUUGCUUGAAAUUCCAUUAUCCAACAUUUUCUUAUUUUCUCAUGCACAAAAAUAUAACCACAUAUUUGAACCUAAUCUUUUCAAGCUUUCACAUAACAACUAAGCUCAAAUAUCAAGCUAGGAGAGAUGAAAAACACCAUUACUUACCUUAUUAAAGCUUUCUCUCUAUAGCUUCAACUUUCUCUCCCAAAACCCACCUAAACCUUAGUUGAAAAUGGAGAAAUUAAAGGUGAAAAUGAGUUUAGGAGAUGAUUUUCCAAAUGAUUUUAGCAAAAACUCAAUGUGAGUGAUGAGAUUUUUUAGUAAAUUUAAAAAGAAAAGCAAGAAAAAUGAAAAAAAAAUGAAAAGAAAGAGAGCUUCCAUGCAGAGAGGGGGGCAAUUGAGAGAGCUGGUAGAGAUGAGUUUUCAUCCUCAUUUUACCAAUU
rnacentral:lncRNA from 1 species